rnacentral:rRNA from 1 species
GAUGAACGCUGGCGGCGUGCCUAAUACAUGCAAGUCGAGCGAACAGACGAGGAGCUUGCUCCUUUGACGUUAGCGGCGGACGGGUGAGCAACACGUGGAUAACCUACCUAUAAGACUGGGAUAACUUCGGGAAACCGGAGCUAAUACCGGAUAACAUGUUGAACCGCAUGGUUCAACAGUGAAAGACGGUCUUGCUGUCACUUAUAGAUGGAUCCGCGCCGCAUUAGCUAGUUGGUAAGGUAACGGCUUACCAAGGCAACGAUGCGUAGCCGACCUGAGAGGGUGAUCGGCCACACUGGAACUGAGACACGGUCCAGACUCCUACGGGAGGCAGCAGUAGGGAAUCUUCCGCAAUGGGCGAAAGCCUGACGGAGCAACGCCGCGUGAGUGAAGAAGGUCUUCGGAUCGUAAAACUCUGUUAUUAGGGAAGAACAAAUGUGUAAGUAACUAUGCACGUCUUGACGGUACCUAAUCAGAAAGCCACGGCUAACUACGUG